rnacentral:rRNA from 1 species
GCNGGCGGCAUGCUUACACAUGCAAGUCGAACGGCAGCGGGGAGAAGCUUGCUUCUCCUGCCGGCGAGUGGCGAACGGGUGAGUAAUACAUCGGAACGUGCCCUGUAGUGGGGGAUAACUAGUCGAAAGAUUAGCUAAUACCGCAUACGACCUGAGGGUGAAAGUGGGGGACCGCAAGGCCUCAUGCUAUAGGAGCGGCCGAUGUCUGAUUAGCUAGUUGGUGGGGUAAAGGCCCACCAAGGCGACGAUCAGUAGCUGGUCUGAGAGGACGAUCAGCCACACUGGGACUGAGACACGGCCCAGACUCCUACGGGAGGCAGCAGUGGGGAAUUUUGGACAAUGGGCGAAAGCCUGAUCCAGCAAUGCCGCGUGUGUGAAGAAGGCCUUCGGGUUGUAAAGCACUUUUGUCCGGAAAGAAAUGGCUCUGGUUAAUACCUGGGGUCGAUGACGGUACCGGAAGAAUAAGGACCGGCUAACUACGUGCCAGCAGCCGCGGUAAUACGUAGGGUCCAAGCGUUAAUCGGAAUUACUGGGCGUAAAGCGUGCGCAGGCGGUUGUGCAAGACCGAUGUGAAAUCCCCGAGCUUAACUUGGGAAUUGCAUUGGUGACUGCACGGCUAGAGUGUGUCAGAGGGGGGUAGAAUUCCACGUGUAGCAGUGAAAUGCGUAGAGAUGUGGAGGAAUACCGAUGGCGAAGGCAGCCCCCUGGGAUAACACUGACGCUCAUGCACGAAAGCGUGGGGAGCAAACAGGAUUAGAUACCCUGGUAGUCCACGCCCUAAACGAUGUCAACUAGUUGUUGGGGAUUCAUUUCCUUAGUAACGUAGCUAACGCGUGAAGUUGACCGCCUGGGGAGUACGGUCGCAAGAUUAAAACUCAAAGGAAUUGACGGGGACCCGCACAAGCGGUGGAUGAUGUGGAUUAAUUCGAUGCAACGCGAAAAACCUUACCUACCCUUGACAUGCCACUAACGAAGCAGAGAUGCAUUAGGUGCUCGAAAGAGAAAGUGGA